rnacentral:lncRNA from 1 species
UGCGAUGAGCACAAGGCGACAGUACUGCUUUCUUGAUGACAGCUACCAGUGCAUGGAAAUGCUGUGAUCGGAUUACCAAAAAUUAGUGGAGGACUGAUAACAGAAUCAAGGACAGAGUGGCAUGAGGAUUCAGAGCUGCCAGCUGAGGGAUCUCCACAUCUACUGCAGAGAAGCAAAAACUAUUGGAGUUUGGAUUUUCCUGCUGGACUGUAAUACCACACCUGUCUGUGGGAGAGGAAGCUCAGGUCACAUCACAAGACAAGUCUGCUCGGGCUUUCCCCUCAGCCCACCACAGCUGAGACUUGGAC